AACGAACGCUGGCGGCAGGCCUAACACAUGCAAGUCGAACGCCCUAGCAAUAGGGAGUGGCAGACGGGUGAGUAACACGUGGGAACCUUCCCUGUAGUACGGAAUAGCCCAGGGAAACUUGGAGUAAUACCGUAUACGCCCGAGAGGGGAAAGAUUUAUCGCUACGGGAUGGGCCCGCGUCGGAUUAGCUAGUUGGUGAGGUAAUGGCUCACCAAGGCGACGAUCCGUAGCUGGUUUGAGAGAACGACCAGCCACACUGGGACUGAGACACGGCCCAGCCUCCUACGGGAGGCAGCAGUGGGGAAUAUCGGACAAUGGGCGCAAGCCUGAUCCAGCCAUGCCGCGUGAGUGAUGAAGGCCUUAGGGUUGUAAAGCUCUUUUGUCGGGGACGAUAAUGACGGUACCCGAAGAAUAAGUCCCGGCUAACUUCGUGCCAGCCGCCGCCGUAACAC
rnacentral:rRNA from 1 species